GGACGAACGGCUGGCGGCGUGCCUAACACAUGCAAGUCGAACGGAGUCAGACGCUGAAUUUGAGAUUAGCUUGCUAAGGAAAUUCUGUUUGACUUAAGUGGCGACGGGUGAGUAACGCGUGAGCAACCUGCCUUUCAGAGGGGGAUAACGUUUGGAAACGAACGCUAAUACCGCAUAAAACAGCAGUACGGCAUCGUACAACUGUCAAAGGAGCAAUCCGCUGAAAGAUGGGCUCGCGUCCGAUUAGCUAGUUGGUGAGGUAACGGCUCACCAAGGCGAUGAUCGGUAGCCGGACUGAGAGGUUGAACGGCCACAUUGGGACUGAGACACGGCCCAGACUCCUACGGGAGGCAGCAGUGGGGAUAUUGCACAAUGGGCGAAAGCCUGAUGCAGCAACGCCGCGUGAGGGAAGACGGUUUUCGGAUUGUAAACCUCUGUCUUUGGUGACGAACAAAUGACGGUAGCCAAGGAGGAAGCCCGGCUAACUACGUGCC
rnacentral:rRNA from 1 species